rnacentral:rRNA from 1 species
GACGAACGCUGGCGGCGUGCCUAAUACAUGCCAGUCGAACGCUGAAGGAGGAGCUUGCUUCUCUGGAUGAGUUGCGAACGGGUGAGUAACGCGUAGGUAACCUGCCUGGUAGCGGGGGAUAACUAUUGGAAACGAUAGCUAAUACCGCAUAAGAGUAGAUGUUGCAUGACAUUUGCUUAAAAGGUGCAAUUGCAUCACUACCAGAUGGACCUGCGUUGUAUUAGCUAGUUGGUGGGGUAACGGCUCACCAAGGCGACGAUACAUAGCCGACCUGAGAGGGUGAUCGGCCACACUGGGACUGAGACACGGCCCAGACUCCUACGGGAGGCAGCAGUAGGGAAUCUUCGGCAAUGGACGGAAGUCUGACCGAGCAACGCCGCGUGAGUGAAGAAGGUUUUCGGAUCGUAAAGCUCUGUUGUAAGAGAAGAACGAGUGUGAGAGUGGAAAGUUCACACUGUGACGGUAUCUUACCAGAAAGGGACGGCUAACUACGUG